rnacentral:rRNA from 1 species
AACGAACGCUGGCGGCAGGCUUAACACAUGCAAGUCGAACGAGAUCUUCGGAUCUAGUGGCAGACGGGUGAGGAACACGUGGGAACAUCUCUUUCAGUUCGGAAUAACGUUGGGAAACGUACGCUAAUACCGGAUACGUCCUUCGGGUGAAAGAUUUAUCGCUGAAAGAUUGGCCCGCGUCUGAUUAGCUAGUUGGUGAGGUAACGGCUCACCAAGGCUACGAUCAGUAGCUGAUCUGAGAGGAUGAUCAGCCACAUUGGGAAUGAGACCCGGCCCAAACUCCUACGGGAGGCAGCAGUGGGAAAUAUUGGACAAUGGGCGCAAGCCUGAUCCAGCCAUGCCGCGUGAGUGAUGACGGCCUUCGGAUUGUAAAGCUCUUUUGUCCGGGAAGAUAAUGACUGUACCGGAAGAAUAAGCCCCGGCAAACUUCGUGCCAGCCGCCGCAGUAA